GCCGGAGUAGCUCAGCUGGUAGAGCAACGCACUUGUAAUGCGUAGGUCGUGGGUUCGAGUCCCUCCUCCGGCUCCU
rnacentral:tRNA from 1 species